rnacentral:rRNA from 1 species
ACUUCAGGUUGCAUGACUUGGGGUGGAAAGAUUUAUCGGUGCAGGAUGGGCCCGCGGCCUAUCAGCUUGUUGGUGGGGUAAUGGCCUACCAAGGCGACGACGGGUAGCCGACCUGAGAGGGUGACCGGCCACACUGGGACUGAGACACGGCCCAGACUCCUACGGGAGGCAGCAGUGGGGAAUAUUGCACAAUGGGCGAAAGCCUGAUGCAGCGACGCCGCGUGAGGGAUGACGGCCUUCGGGUUGUAAACCUCUUUCAGCAGGGACGAAGCGCAAGUGACGGUACCUGCAGAAGAAGCACCGGCUAACUACGUGCCAGCAGCCGCGGUAAUACGUAGGGUGCAAGCGUUGUCCGGAAUUACUGGGCGUAAAGAGUUCGUAGGCGGUUUGUCGCGUCGUUUGUGAAAACCAGCAGCUCAACUGCUGGCUUGCAGGCGAUACGGGCAGACUUGAGUACUGCAGGGGAGACUGGAAUUCCUGGUGUAGCGGUGAAAUGCGCAGAUAUCAGGAGGAACACCGGUGGCGAAGGCGGGUCUCUGGGCAGUAACUGACGCUGAGGAACGAAAGCGUGGGUAGCGAACAGGAUUAGAUACCCUGGUAGUCCACGCCGUAAACGGUGGGCGCUAGGUGUGGGUUCCUUCCACGGAAUCCGUGCCGUAGCUAACGCA